AGUGGCGGACGGGUGAGUAACGCGUGGGUAACCUGCCUUGUACAGGGGGAUAACAGUUGGAAACGGCUGCUAAUACCGCAUAAGCGCACAGUACCGCAUGGUACCGCGUGAAAAACUCCGGUGGUAUGAGAUGGACCCGCGUCUGAUUAGCUAGUUGGUGGGGUAACGGCCUACCAAGGCGACGAUCAGUAGCCGACCUGAGAGGGUGACCGGCCACACUGGGACUGAGACACGGCCCAG
rnacentral:rRNA from 1 species